CGUCACUUGCCCCUCUCCUCCAAUUAUUCCCAUCACACUCUCUCUCUCUCUCUCUCUGUGGUUCUCAUCUUCUUGUUCUUGUUCGUCUUCCUCCAUUAGAGGGUAGUGGUGCACCACAAGUUGGUGAAGCUGCCAGCAUGAUCUGAUGAUAUUCUGUUCCACCCCUCUCUCCUGUCGUAUGAUUUUGAACACGUACAGGAUGAGGUGAAAGAGGAAUCAAUCGCUGAAUUAAUCAGGUCAUGCUGUAGUUUCAUCUGCUGGUGGGAGCACAUCGAAAACCCUAGCUGGAUUACAUCUAUGGGUCUCAUCAGGUUCUUGCAGGAUUCAUGCUGCACCUGCACCUCGAUCAGAUAUGUGGUUUCUCUUCCAGCAGAAGAUCAGAAAGGAAAUGAACAGAACUAACUGUCCAAGCUGUGUUGUUUACCCUUAAUUAUGUCAUAUUUAUAGUUCUAGAUACCAUGUAGAUGGUUCCUAUAUUUGUGACAUGGCUGGUUAGUUCCAACUUCCAAUGCUUGGUUGAAGAUAUGCUUCAACUUCAAUUUGGGUUCAGUAUACUUCUACAUGAAUGCAGGAACCAGCCUGUGAGAAUAUGUGAAAAAACUGUUUUCAUCAGUGUGUCUAUGCAUGGUUUACUGCGAUCCUGGUAUCCUGCUAAAAACAAUGGUGAUGGAAAGAUGUAUCACAGUAUGACAAGUUUGUAUGAUAAAAUCCUUGUUGAUUAAGGCAUAGUAAGUUGGGGGGAAAGGACUAUGCAAUGCAAUUGAUUUGAGGUCUGAAGGCAGACAAUUUCAGUCA